UCGGGAAUUUUGGGCAAUGGGCGAAAGCCUGACCCAGCAACGCCGCGUGAAGGAUGAAGUAUUUCGGUAUGUAAACUUCGUAAGAAUAGGAAGAAUAAAUGACGGUACUAUUUGUAAGGUCCGGCUAACUACGUGCCAGCAGCCGCGGUAAUACGUAGGGACCAAGCGUUGUUCGGAUUUACUGGGCGUAAAGGGCGCGUAGGCGGUGUGUCAAGUCAGUUGUGAAAUCUCCGAGCUUAACUCGGAACGGUCAACUGAUACUGUCACACUAGAGUACAGAAGGGGCAAUCGGAAUUCUUGGUGUAGCGGUGAAAUGCGUAGAUAUCAAGAGGAACACCUGAGGCGAAGGCGGGUUGCUGGGCUGAUACUGACGCUGAGACGCGAAAGCGUGGGGAGCAAACAGGAUUAGAUACCCUCGUAGUCCCUGAGCGGGCUGGCAAGGCGCAU
rnacentral:rRNA from 1 species